UCAUCAGCCAAAAGCCUUUCUUUAAACCCUCCAAACUGCAUCAACCAUCUCAUAAGCCCCGAUUUUUCAAGCCCCAAGAACCUCUCUAUGACCGACCCAGGGAUCCUCCCAGCCUGGAUCGCCGCCGCCAAGUCCUUCGGCAGACUCUCCGUUGACCUCCCUGCCUCCGCCAGUACAAUCAUCGCCUCUUUCCUGUUCUUAUCACCCGCAUUCUCGUCAUCACCACCCCUGUGUUUUCCAUUCUCAUCGUUUCCACCGCCGCCACCCGAGUUGUUGUUGUUGCUGUUAAUAUCACCACCAUCGCCGCCGGCGCAGAAGGUUAAGAACGGGGAAGAUCGGCUGUGACGGAGACAGGUGGCGGAGGAGGAAAGGCGGAGGUGGAGGUGGAGAGGGAAAGUGGUGGGGAAUUUAGGGGUGAUGGUAAGGGAAUUAGGAGAGGAAAGUGGGGAAGAGGUGAGAAGGCAGGCGGCGAUGGACAUUGGUGGCGGCAGGUGGUGUCAGAGGCGGAGUUUUGGUCAGAGAAGUAAUGGAAAGAGGUGUGUAAUAAUGAAAGGUUUGUCGUUGGCUAGUUGAUCAAAG
rnacentral:lncRNA from 1 species